rnacentral:lncRNA from 1 species
UGGUUUGUUUGGAGUAUGUCAUUCUUUUCUUUCAUGCUCAGGAGAACUUCCAGUGGUGAAUUCAUCAGCUGGAUCAAACUGCUGUACUUGUAACUGCCAGUCAACGUUGCAGGCCAUUCUACAAGAACUCAAGACCAUGAGGAAAUUAAUGCAAAUUCAAGCAGUUGGAACUCAAAACAGACAACAACCUCCAAUUUCCCUUAUAUGCUCCCAGCGAACUGCUGUCUCACGAAAGAGAAAUAAAAAGAAAAAAGUGCCCCCAAAGACUGUGGAACCUCUUACUGUGAAACAGAAGCCCAGUGGGUCAGAGAUGGAGAAAAAGUCGGUGGUGGCCUCUGAGCUAUCUGCU